CCUACGGGAGGCAGCAGUGGGGAAUAUUGGGCAAUGGGCGCAAGCCUGACCCAGCAACGCCGCGUGAAGGAAGAAGGCUUUCGGGUUGUAAACUUCUUUUAAGAGGGAAGAGCAGAAGACGGUACCUCUUGAAUAAGCCACGGCUAACUACGGGCCAGCAGCCGGGGUAAUACGGAGGUGGCAAGCGUUGUCCGGAUUUACUGGGUGUAAAGGGCGUGCAGCCGGGAAGACAAGUCAGAUGUGAAAUCGCGAGGCUCAACCGCGGAACUGCAGUUGAAACUGUUUGUCUUGAGUACCGGAGAGGUAAUCGGAAUGCCUGGUGUAGCGGUGAAAUGCGUAGAUAUAAGGAAGAACACCGGUGGCGAAGGCGGAUGACUGGACGGCAACUGACGGUGAGGCGCGAAAGCGUGGGGAGCAAACAGGAUUAGAUACCCCUGUAGUC
rnacentral:rRNA from 1 species